ACUCCCCACGCAGCUCCGGACCAAGUCCCUUCUGGGCUAGUCCCCAGUGUCGGCGCGGCCAGCAGCAAGAGCAGGCGGAGACAAGCCGCGCCUGGGAACCUGCAGUCUGAGGUCAGCUGCCUUCUACCUGCCGGCCCCUCAGGUCCCUCCCUGCGCCUUUUCCUGCGCACGUCUUCACCGGGGCUCCUGCUGCCCCAGGCCGCCGCCCUGGUGGCUCCGGAGAGUUCUCUGGCUACGGGCUGGCCCUUCCAUGGGCCAGUGUCAACAGCCGCACCACCAGUCGCGUCUCCUCGUGAUGCUUCCGUUUCUUGCUCUCUUGGUGGCUCCCCGAGGACCCUGGUGACCAGGGCAGGGACGGAAGGUCCUACUCAACGGCGCCCUCAGGCCAGCCUCCCUCUGACCCCCAACCCUGCUGGCACCGGCUGGUGGUGUUGCACCAGCUGUGCUGGAGACGGACCCCAGGGAUGACCUGGUCCAGGACACACCUGGCCCACCUUGCCGCUGCUGAUCUCGGGCCGUGGCUGAGCUGCCACAGGGCCAGGCUGAGCGGGUGGCGGAGCUGGCUUGUGUCAGUGCACGGGAUUGGGGCGACCGGGGCCGGCUGCACCCUGGCCUCUGAGGCUCCCUUUCAUGAAGAAGUGAGAGUCACUACUGCCGUUCCAGGGUCGGGAGGAGCGAGGGCUAAGCCUGCUCUGCCCCAGCUUCGCCCGGCCCCAAACGCUGCGGGUUUUAUGAAUUCGGGCCUCAAGGGCCUGCCCGGAAUUCUGUGGCAAGGCAGGAGGCAGGCCCAGUGCCCCAGCGCGCAGAGGAGUCCCAGGGAGGCCUCAGGAAAGCCUCGUGCGGUCACGGGCUGAGCCACACGGUUUCCAGAGACGCUGAGUUUUUAUUGUGGGGGUGUAGCUCAGUGGUAGAGUGCUUGCCGGGUCUCUGCGAGGCCCUGGCCUCCAUCCCCAGCAAGAGCAGAAUGGAACCCACGUAACACGGAAGGCGCGCCUUGACCCUCUUCGACUCCAGUUGACUAGUCUUCGUCUGUCAGUUUGUUUGGUCCUCUUUGCUGAGGUGCUGGACGGAACCCGGGCUCUCACGCAUGCCAGGCAGGUGAUCUGCGCUGAGCCGCACCUCAGCCCAAGGCCGUGUCCUUUGUAAUGUUUUGUUUUGUUUACCUGGUGAACGCCGUUGACUGGUUUUUGGAGGUGAGCGCACCCCGCGUCCCUGGGUAAGUCCCCCUCGGGGUGGCAUUGACCCUUCCUACCGGCUGCUACGACUUCUGCGUCCGUGCCCGUGAGAGGCACCGCUGCAGCUUCCUCCUGAUGCCCUCAUCCGGCUGGGCACCAGGGCAUCCUACCAGUGUUUAGAAGAGCUUGUGCAACCUUGGUGUUAAUUCUUCUGGUCCCAGAGAGCCAGCUUUCCGUUUCAUCGCUUUUUCUCAGAUUUUGCUUUCUAUUCUUUAUUUCUUCGAUCUUUGCUCUACCUUUUUUAUUUCCUUCCUUCUGCUUUAGGUUUAACUUGUUCUUCUUUUCCCAGUGUCUUAAAGUAAAAAUUCAGGUUCCCAAGAGGAAGAGUUGAGAUCUUGUUCAGUGUAGGCACUGAGAGCUAUAAAUGUGCCUCUAGGCAGAUUUGGCUGCACCCUAUAAGUUUUGGUAUGGGAUGCCUUCAUUUCCAUUUGCCUCAAAAGCAUUUUCUAAUCACCCUUUUCAUUUUUUGCUUAGUGUUCAGGAGUGAGCUAUUUUGUUUCCACAUGUUUGGGGGCUUCCAAUUUGUUCCUGUUACCGAUUUCUAGUUUUAUUCCAUUAUGUUAUUUCUAUCCUGGUCAGUUCAUCAGGACUUGUUUUAGGGUGAAUGAAGUCUCCCAAGGAGCCUGCUAUCCAUAGGAGCCAGCUCUUCAUGUCACUGGGCUCCCUUGCAAAUGACUUUCCAUCUGCCUCCUUCCUGUGUGAGGAUCGUCCUCAUGCCUUCCUUGGCCUCUCCUUCAGUCUCCACUGUUUGGAGGCUGUCAAACCUGAUGGAUGAUACCUGGCUGCUUCGCAGUUUGAGUUCCAAGCCGCCCUGCCCCACCCCAUGGACCCUCGCUGCUCUGCGCUGGACUGGUUGCGUGUGGCUGGCUGCCCGCCCAGUGCAGUCCCUGCAGCCCCCAGGCUCUGGGUUCUCUUUUCCCCCAGCAACCCCGGGGUUUAACAGGCUUUGUGGCGGGAGCCACAGCCCUAGGUGGGGCCGGAGGACUUCCGGGGGCCUCUUCACAGCUCUUUGGCCCCAUUUUUUUCCAGCAAACUCGCGGCCGACAGCGUAGUCCCCAUCUCCAACGAACCUGUGGACCCGGAGGCCGAAGGACGUCCCUGGGGUCUAGGAAUCGUAAUCCUACAGACCUAGACACCUUCGCCUCUGUGUGGGCGGGAGGCCGGGAGCUGGGGGCUCCUGACUGGGCAGGAAGAGUCCUUCCAGGGGCUGGGCUUCUGUAGGAGCUGAGGACAGGUGGCCACCGGCAGAAGAGGAAGGAGCCGGUGUGCCGCCCGGUAAGAGUGGCUCUGGCCCGGCUCUGGUGCGACCUGCUCUAGCCGCCGCGGGAGCAGGAGCGGGACGCCAGUCGCAGCGAGCCCCACCCCAGGCCUCUGGUGCCCACUGAGAAGCCCUUCGUGCCGCCUCCACCCACGCGUUCCCCCUUCGGGUCUGUCAGGCUCCUCCCCAUGGCUUCCCUGAAACUGCCUCGUGCUGGAGAGCAGGCAGGGCUCCUCUCUGCAGAGCCGAGUGCCAGCGCAGGGGGUGGCACUGGUCUCCCCUCUUGUCCCUCCUGAGGGAACCCCACCCCUGCCUUCCGGGUGCCUCAGUUCCACGGUGGGGCUGGAGGGCUGUCCUCUCCUGGAGCUGCCUCCUCGGCAGGUAGCUGGGCAAGAUGGCAAGGCCACCCCUGCAGGAGGACAUGCCUGGGCGCUGGGAGAACCCUGACCGCUGGUGGGCCCGUGGGGGCGCCCCCACCCCGGCUGUCCAAAUACCACAGACUCUUUGCAGUUCUCAGAGAGUUUCAGUCAAUAUUCUUGAGUAAAUAUUUCUUCAUUUGCUCUCUGCACUUAGGUCAAUUGCCAGAGAAUGAAAAGAGUUGUUUUAAAAUGAUGUUCAGGCAGGGCGCGGCGGAGCGCCCCGUCAUCCCAGCAACGCAGGAGGCUGAGGCAGGAGGAUGGCGAGUUUGAGGUCAGCCUGGGAGCGUCGGGAGACUCUGUCUUGGAAUAAAAAGGGCUGGGAGUGUGGCUCGUGCAGUGUGCCGGCAGCGGGGCGGACGCUCUCGGGCAGCUGCAGUUCUGGGGCAGGAGAGAGGGCCCUGGCGGGCCAGGCCCUGUGACCUGGGACCCCACACACAGUGACUGAGGUCAGCGGUGGAGGCUGGGAGGGAAGUAGGGACGGCCUGGACAGUCUGGUGUUUGAAUGGGCGGCCUGGUCUCUCCACGGCCGACGGUGCUGGCAUGCUCCCAAGAAAGGGGGGUUGGGGUCCCUGGUCACCUGGGGCGAAUAACCUGGGCACCUGUCCCUGAGGAGUGGCGGGACAGUGCCGUGCCCACGUGGGGUGUGCGUGGGCGCCAGGCUCCCCCAUUGCCCCUGAAGCGCCUCCUCCCCACGCAGGGCCCGCUGUGCCGAGGGCGCGGCUCCCCAGGGCCUUACCCAGGUUACGGCGGCCGUGGCUGGGCCGCCAGGGCAUAUGGGCUUUUCUUUUUGUCGAAGCAUCUUGGGACAUUCGUCCUCCAGAUGGCCAGGGUCGGGCGGUUUCCCCGGAGGGGAAAGGAGGUUCUUUCUCAGGACCAGCUGGCUUCCCAGCCCGCCUCCCUGAGGGCCAGCAGCAGACCUGACCCAGGCUAACUUCAGACAAGGAAAGCAGCCAUGGCCACACUGCCCUGGGGUGGAGGGACCCGAGCUCCUGUAGGAACCCGCAGCACAGAUGGGUGUAACCCCCGGGAUGCCAAAGCCAAAUUCCCAGGAAAGAAGCCCAACUCGCCAACCUUUGACCCCAAGCUGACUGGUUGCUGGGGGACUCGGCAGGGGUGGGGGGGAGCCGGGAGCAGG